GGAAUUUUCCGCAAUGGGCGAAAGCCUGACGGAGCAACGACUCGUGAAGGUAGAUGGCCUUGGGGUAGUGAUCCCCUGGCAGAGGGGAGGAAUUGAUCUGAACUAUCCGCAGAGGAAGGACGGGCUAAGUUCGUGCCAGCAGCCGCGGUAAGACGAACCGUCCAAACGUUAUUCGGAAUCACUGGGCUUAAAGGGUGCGUAGGCGGCUCUGCAAGUUGGGUGUGAAAGCCCCCGGCUCAACCGGGGAAUUGCGCUCAAAACUGCAGGGCUUGAGGGAGAUAGAGGUGAGCGGAACUUAUGGUGGAGCGGUGAAAUGCGUUGAUAUCAUAAGGAACACCGGUGGUGAAAGCGGCUCACUGGGUCUCUUCUGACGCUGAGGCACGAAAGCUAGGGUAGCGAACAGGAUUAGAUACCCCAGUAGUC
rnacentral:rRNA from 1 species